rnacentral:rRNA from 1 species
GACGAACGCUGGCGGCGUGCUUAACACAUGCAAGUCGAACGGAAAGGCCCUGCUUUUGUGGGGUGCUCGAGUGGCGAACGGGUGAGUAACACGUGAGUAACCUGCCCUUGACUUUGGGAUAACUUCAGGAAACUGGGGCUAAUACCGGAUAGGAGUUCCUGCUGCAUGGUGGGGGUUGGAAAGUUUCGGCGGUUGGGGAUGGACUCGCGGCUUAUCAGCUUGUUGGUUGGGUAGUGGCUUACCAAGGCUUUGACGGGUAGCCGGCCUGAGAGGGUGACCGGCCACAUUGGGACUGAGCUACGGCCCAGACUCCUCCGGGAGGCAGCAGUGGGGAAUAUUGCACAAUGGGCGGAAGCCUGAUGCAGCAACUCCGCGUGCGGGAUGACGGCCUUCGGGUUGUAAACCGCUUUCGCCUGUGACGAAGCGUGAGUGACGGUAAUGGGUAAAGAAGCACCGGCUAACUACGUG